GCAUAUCAAUAAGCGGAGGAAAAGAAACCAACAGGGAUUGCCCCAGUAACGGCGAGUGAAGCGGCAACAGCUCAAAUUUGAAAUCUGGUCCCCAGGGCCCGAGUUGUAAUUUGCAGAGGAUGCUUUUGGUGAGGUGCCUUCCGAGUUCCCUGGAACGGGACGCCAUAGAGGGUGAGAGCCCCGUCUGGUUGGAUACCGAGCCUCUGUAAAGCUCCUUCGACGAGUCGAGUAGUUUGGGAAUGCUGCUCUAAAUGGGAGGUAUAUGUCUUCUAAAGCUAAAUAUUGGCCAGAGACCGAUAGCGCACAAGUAGAGUGAUCGAAAGAUGAAAAGCACUUUGAAAAGAGGGUUAAAUAGUACGUGAAAUUGUUGAAAGGGAAGCACUUAUGACCAGACUUGGCCCCGGUGAAUCAUCCAGCGGUUCCCGCUGGUGCACUUUGCCGGGGUUCAGGCCAGCAUCAGUUCGCUCCGGGGGAUAAAGGCUUUGGGAAUGUGGCUCCCUCGGGAGUGUUAUAGCCCAUUGCGUAAUACCUUGUGGCGGGCUGAGGUUCGCGCUUUAUGCAAGGAUGCUGGCAUAAUGGUCAUCAGUGACCCGUCUUGAAACACGGACCAAGGAGUCGUCUUCGUAUGCGAGUGUUCGGGUGUUAAACCCCUACGCGUAAUGAAAGUGAACGCAGGUGAGAGCCCUCCAGGGCGCAUCAUCGACCGAUCCUGAUGUUCUCGGAUGGAUUUGAGUAAGAGCAUACGGGGCCGGACCCGAAAGAAGGUGAACUAUGCCUGUAUAGGGUGAAGCCAGAGGAAACUCUGGUGGAGGCUCGCAGCGGUUCUGACGUGCAAAUCGAUCGUCAAAUAUGGGCAUGGGGGGCGAAAGACUAAUCGAACCUUUCUAGUAGCUGGUUUCCGCCGAA
rnacentral:rRNA from 1 species